CUGUGAAAGGGUCGUUCAACCCCCAAAGGGGUCGCGACCCACAGGUUGAGAACCGCUGCUAGCAAGAUGCUCCCUAAAGCUGAGGCUCCACCCCAGGACACCUCCCCUGCCCCAGAGGCACCAUUCCCACCUUGGCUCUCAGAGAUGCUAACGGCCCUUCUGCAACAGCUGCUGAGAGCAGCACAGUCAAUACUCAAGUACAGGAUUGGAAGUGGAGGGGGGUGCAUCACAUUCCUCCUGCUGCAAAGGCUGUGCCUGCCCCACACAUUUCCCAGCAUCCACAGCAGCUCAUCUCCUGAGGCACAACAGAGUCAGGGCAACGAGGCCUCAAGUCUGGGAACUACUGUGUGAGUUCAGGCCAGUCACCAACACUCCGGGCCCACCUUCCCUUCUAUUAACAGGUAAGCCAGCUCAUCUCCUCUCAGGCUGCCUAUACCUAACUCUCAUAUACCCAGCUUUGGCUUCAGACCUCAGCAGAGUUGGUUGGGCAUAGUUCCUACCACUCUGAGUUGAAAGGCAGUGAAGCACUCACUCCUACUCUCAUGCAUUUCAGGAGCAAGGGAUGGGACCAGGUGGUGAGAGAACAGUAUCUGGAGGCAAGAGGACUCACCACCUGAAGAUUCACCCCCUCCAAGCAGGGGGACCACCUGUGGACCCAGCUCAGGGGAGGGAUCACUCCUAAAAGUUUCAGCGAGGGCCAGGCAGACCUAGGCAUGGGGCGGCCCCAGGAAGAGAACCCACUCAGAGGCAGGAGCCUGCUAGGCAAUCUUUAGCUAGAAGAGCAGACAGAAUGUGGUAGCUUUCGUGUCAGCAGCAAAUGUUCUAGCUGAGCAUUUAACCAAAUCGUCCAAACACCUGAAACUGAGGCCAGGGGAGUCAUCCAGCUUCCCCAUGGGUCAUACGCCGAGGGCAGCUGUUGCUAUAAAGCCCAGCAGCGUGCUCCUGCCCUUUCACGCGCCUGGCCCUUGCUCUCCUGGACCCGAAGCAGAGAUGACGUCCGGGGAUGACACUGGCCUCUGCAGCCAGGGCCUCCCCUGCCACCACCUGACUGAACUGACAGACCAUCGGGAUGAGACGAUUCCAGGGGUGCUCAGCUAAGAAGGAACCGGGAAAUCACUGGGAGCCAGGGACGACGACUCAGGGCUCCAGAACUCAUCGCUGCUUUCACCAGAGUAGCUCUGCUCUUAUGUGUUAGAUCUGGGGUCCCUGCAUUAACAAAGGUCUGGCUAAACGUUUUCAGCUUCUGUUCUAAUCCAAUCGCUUCAAUGAUAGGGAAAGAAGCUGCGAGUUGCCGCCCAUCAGAAAGAGGCCUGAAGUUCUCUGCUGGCCUGCUCCACGGCUCAACUGGGCACAGCACACCCCCCCCUGGAAACAUCUCUCGGGAGGCAGCUCACAGCAAAACCUCCAGGAACAACUAACAGAAGUAUUCCUGCCCACAUAUUAGCAGACAGAAGAAAGUUUUUAAUGUAUCCUCCUUAAAGUUCAGUAUUCCCUUAGGAACUUGAUUCACUUACUUUUCACUUAUUUAGUUUUAAAACUACACACUAUCCUGGUUUUGCUCUGUUAUAAGCAAUGUUCAGAACGUGACACAUUCGUACUGACUCCUAUGUCUGUACAUUUCUCAAGUCCAGUCACCUAUGUCUUGCAAACAUCGGGCACCUCCUCUCACUUGCCAACAUCAACCUGAGGGAUAAGGAGAAAAGCCCAGGCCCGAGUAACCUCUACUCCCAGGACACCACACACAUCAUGACAGGCAGCACAGAGAAAGGCCAGCGCCUGGCUCCAUCGCAGUUACCCUGUGACCUUGCCAGUGGCCUCCCUCAAGGUCCGGGUCCUCCCUCCAGGUUUGCAUGAGGCGCAGGGCCAUCUCAGGCUGCCCCCCGGAGACUCAGCUACGAGGACCGGCCUGAGCACACCUGCUCGUGCAUCAGACUUCUCCGGAGGCUGCUGAACUGCCUUCGCCCACUCCGCGCUGCUGUCCACCCACACGUCCCAGGUCGGAGCAGAAGCGACAUCGGAACCUGGCUGUGUAACUCCAGCUCUUCUCCCACAGGAUGGCGGGAACCCAAUAACGCAACCUUGAUACUUUUUUGUGUGAAAUUUAUUGUUUCCACAUUAAAAGAUUUGUUGGAGGGGAAGUACUUUCUCUUUUUUUUUUUUAACCACAUGAUGAUUCUAUACAGUUGCCCAGAGUAGGACACCAUCGUAAGUCAUUAACAUGCCGUAUGAGUUCUGAAUAAAUAAAAGCUACAAAGCCCAAGUUAUUUACAAAUAUCUUGGGCAAUAAUGUUUACAAACCUAUGUACAAAAAAACAAAUGUAAACAGUAAAUGCAGCAUGAGAGUAAUCAAAGGAUGCACAGGGACAACCACUUGGGGUCAGUCUGCCCCCCAGGAGCUGGCACCAGCCAGCCCCCGGCAUCAGGCCACUCAGUCCUUCCUAACACAACUGGAGAGGCCCGCAGAACAAAACCAAAAAGCUGUGAAGCUGUCAUUUAACUGAAGGACCAGAAAGCUGGUAGGCGCUGCCACCACCUCCACCCCUCGUCUGAGGCACACGGAGGAGAAGACAGCAGAGGCCCAGCUGUCUGUCCCAGGCCCCACAGGCUCCUGCUCUGGGAGGCCAAGCUGUGGAAUGCUAACUGCUGAAGUAAAAUCACAAGGCGCAGUAAUGAGACUGGAGAACUCAGUGGUCCUAGGGUAAUGAGACUGUUCCCUAAUUCAGUGACCUUCCUGACUGUCUGCCAGCAACAGGCCCAGCUGUGUGGGGUGGAGCUGGGGACAAACACAUGAUCAUGAGCACAAAGGUGCUUGGGUGGGAGCUCAGGAGGGCACACGUUGACCUGAUUUGGGAGAGAACGUCUAAAAGAUUUGCAAUGUCCUAAAUA